rnacentral:lncRNA from 1 species
AGUUAAAAAGGUUAUAUGGUCACAACUUAGAUUCAUCAUUAGGAAUGGAAGUUCCAUACACAAUAUAGGAAUUAUUAUUUAUUAGAUUACUCAUGCCUUUACAUUAGCAUACUAUCUCAUGACAAUUUUCUUUCCAGGCUUGAAUUAUCAGCAAUAACAAAAAAGCCUAUUUAUUGGUUUCAAAAAUAAAUACUGUUUCACAAUAGGACAAUAUUAUGAAUUGAAAAGAAUAGAUUUAAACAGACCUAGUUGCUGUAAAAAUUACAGAGCCGUUUACGGCAAUGGAAUCUAAAAUAAAAAAUUUCAAGAGUGAAGAAAUGCAUAGUCUCCAUUAUUUAAAUUUUAUUAGAGAUGGAGAUUCUUCUGUGUUUGCUAAUGUGAAAGAAAAAAGUACAACAUGGGAACUAAAUAAAAAAUUGACACCAGUGCACAAGAUUUUAGCUAAUACAAAGCUUCCACACUAUGGAUGAAAUAUUUUGAAACCAAGGUUACUGAAGAACUACUGUGCAAUAAAUUAUUGUACGUAGAGCAAUGGUCAGCCUAGUUCCAUGGCUGAUGAUUUUCAGAUUCGGCCACCGCAUGUAUUUGGCAACUAUGAGAAGAGGAAAAAUUUACUACUCUUUCCAUUCGUAAUUUAUAAUAUAAUUUGUACAUAGUGUUACUUUUGUAAAAUUAGCCAGACAAAUGUGAUUUGUUAUCUAUAAUAAAAAUAUAAAACUAUAAACUGGUAAAUCAUUUGCCAUUGUAUUCAAAUUUAAUUAGAGUAUGUCAUGUUUUAAGUUUGAGAAAUCAUUUCAGAAUUGUGGCAUUUUACUUAAAAACAAAUAAAACCAAAAACUUUCUUCCAAA